rnacentral:rRNA from 1 species
AGAGUUUGAUCAUGGCUCAGGAUGAACGCUGGCGGUCUGCCUAACACAUGCAAGUCGAACGGGCUCCUCGGAGCUAGUGGCGGACGGGUGAGUAACGCGUGAGAAUCUGCCUUCAGGACGGGGACAACCACCGGAAACAGUGGCUAAAACCCGAUGUGCCCAAAGGUGAAAAAUUAAUUGCCUGAAGAUGAGCUCGCGUCUGAUUAGCUAGUUGGCGGGGUAAAAGCCCACCAAGGCGACGAUCAGUAGCUGGUCUGAGAGGAUGAGCAGCCACACUGGGACUGAGACACGGCCCAGACUCCUACGGGAGGCAGCAGUGGGGAAUUUUCCGCAAUGGGCGAAAGCCUGACGGAGCAAGACCGCGUGAGGGAGGAAGGCCCUUGGGUUGUAAACCUCUUUUGUCUGGGAAGAAGUACUGACGGUACCAGAGGAAUCAGCAUCGGCUAACUCCGUGCCAGCAGCCGCGGUAAUACGGAGGAUGCAAGCGUUAUCCGGAAUUAUUGGGCGUAAAGAGUCCGUAGGUGGUCAUGCAAGUCUGCCGUCAAAGCAUGGAGCUUAACUCCAUAAAGGCGGUGGAAACUGUGAGACUAGAGUCUAGGAGGGGUAGAGGGAAUUCCCAGUGUAGCGGUGAAAUGCGUAGAGAUUGGGAAGAACACCGGUGGCGAAAGCGCUCUACUGGACUAGAACUGACACUGAGGGACGAAAGCUAGGGUAGCGAAAGGGAUUAGAUACCCCUGUAGUCCUAGCCGUAAACGAUGGAUACUAGGCGUAGCACGUAUCGACCCGAGCUGUGCCGAAGCUAACGCGUUAAGUAUCCCGCCUGGGGAGUACGCACGCAAGUGUGAAACUCAAAGGAAUUGACGGGGGCCCGCACAAGCGGUGGAGUAUGUGGUUUAAUUCGAUGCAACGCGAAGAACCUUACCAAGGCUUGACAUCCGACGAAUCUCCCUGAAAAGGGAGAGUGCCUUCGGGAGCGUCGUGACAGGUGGUGCAUGGCUGUCGUCAGCUCGUGUCGUGAGAUGUUGGGUUAAGUCCCGCAACGAGCGCAACCCUCGUCCUUAGUUGCCCAUAUUAAGUUAGGAACUCUAGGGAGACUGCCGGGGACAACUCGGAGGAAGGUGGGGAUGACGUCAAGUCAGCAUGCCCCUUACGUCUUGGGCUACACACGUACUACAAUGGUCGGGACAACGAGCAGCGAAGCCGCAAGGUGUAGCGAAUCUCAACAAACCCGGCCUCAGUUCAGAUUGGGGGCUGCAACUCGCCCCCAUGAAGGAGGAAUCGCUAGUAAUCGCAGGUCAGCAUACUGCGGUGAAUCCGUUCCCGGGUCUUGUACACACCGCCCGUCACACCAUGGGAGUGGAAUCUGCCAGAAGUAGGUAGCCUAACCGCAAGGAGGGCGCUUACCACGGUGGGUUUCAUGACUGGGGUGAAGUCGUAACAAGGUAACC